rnacentral:ncRNA from 1 species
GACAAAGGGAGCCUAAAGGCUGAGAGGUGCAAUUGCACGACCUUUAUCACCUGAUCCGGAUCAUGCCGGCGGAGGGAUGUCGAUUC